rnacentral:tRNA from 1 species
GGGCCCGUAGCUUAGCCAGGUAGAGCACCCGGCUCAUAACCGGGGGGUCGCGGGUUCAAAUCCCGCCGGGCCCA